rnacentral:rRNA from 1 species
UACGUAGGGACCAAGCGUUGUUCGGAUUUACUGGGCGUAAAGGGCGCGUAGGCGGUGCGGUAAGUCACUUGUGAAAUCUCCGAGCUUAACUCGGAACGGCCAAGUGAUACUGCAGUACUAGAGUGCGGAAGGGGCAAUCGGAAUUCUUGGUGUAGCGGUGAAAUGCGUAGAUAUCAGAAGGAACAUCAGUGGCGAAGGCGGCCUCCUGGACCAAUACUGACGAUCAGGUGCGAAAGCGUGGGGAGCAAACAGG